UACGGAGGGGGCUAGCGUUGUUCGGAAUUACUGGGCGUAAAGCGCGCGUAGGCGGCUUUGUAAGUUAGAGGUGAAAGCCCGGGGCUCAACCCCGGAACUGCCUUUGAAACUAGGUAACUAGAAUCUUGGAGAGGUCAGUGGAAUUCCGAGUGUAGAGGUGAAAUUCGUAGAUAUUCGGAAGAACACCAGUGGCGAAGGCGACUGACUGGACAAGUAUUGACGCUGAGGUGCGAAAGCGUGGGGAGCAAACAGGG
rnacentral:rRNA from 1 species